CCUACGGGUGGCAGCAGUGAGGAAUAUUGGUCAAUGGCCGGGAGGCUGAACCAGCCAAGUCGCGUGAGGGAAGACGGCCCUACGGGUUGUAAACCUCUUUUGUCAGGGAGCAAGGUGCAGGUCGGGACCUGCUGUGAGAGUACCUGAAGAAAAAGCAUCGGCUAACUCCGUGCCAGCAGCCGCGGUAAUACGGAGGAUGCGAGCGUUAUCCGGAUUUAUUGGGUUUAAAGGGUGCGCAGGCGGAGGCACAAGUCAGCGGUAAAAUCGCGGGGCUCAACCCCGCGCCGCCGGUUAAACGGUGUCCGUUGAGGGCGCGAAGGGUAGGCGGAAGGAGUGGUGUAGCGGUGAAAUGCAGAGAUAUCACGAAGAACUCCGAGCGAGAAGGCAGCCUACCGGCGCGCAACUGACGCUGAUGAACGAAGGCGUGGGUAUCGAACAGGAUUAGAUACCCGUGUAGUC
rnacentral:rRNA from 1 species